AUUGUAAUGCACCAUCUCCCCUUCUCAAGUAAAUGACUGUGAUUAUCUAAAGGAGAUUUGUUCUCUGAAUUAGACUGUCUUUAAAUUUUGUUUCUUAGUAUGCCCAGGGCUUUGCUGUUGUCUUUAACUGAUUCUAGGACUAGGACGGUCAACGCUGAUCAUAAGCUGUUGCCAGUUUGGCUGCUGAGGCUGUCUCCUGAUGCACAGAGAAGGAGAUCUACAAAAGACAUGAGCGUGCAACUACAGGAGACUGCAGCUCCACCUGCACCUUAUCUCUUCAGUGUUACUAUUUUAUAUCUUUGGACAUCCUGUGAUAUAACUGUGAUAGAUCAGCAGAAAGUCAGCUUUAUAGUUCAAGGGGAAAAACUACACCCUUAAACUUUAAGUCUAAACAUUUAUUUCAAGGACAUAGAUAUACAGUGAUUUUUUUCAAGAUGAUUGAUUACAUGGUUCCUUUCAUUAGAAAGCAAGUAAAAAUACUCCCAACACAUUGUUUCUUAGGCAGUCACUUAACAUUAUUUAUUGUAAUAAAUGAGUUUGACCAGGUAUUUUUCUUUUUUAUUUAGACAACUUCCCGUGGUAAAAUGAUCUUUGCAAAUCAGAUUUCCUGAUAGAAAAGCUAGGUUGAAACUAUUGCCAACUUUGUUGUGUGCUUCUUUUGAAUUAUUACGUGAACAAGUGGAUGCCUGGGAUAGCUGAAGCCUAAGGAGAUGCUGGAUGUGUUCCAGAUACAGCCAGAAUCAGGAUGUACAUUAGUAGGAGGAAUGUCAGUAAGACAAGUAAUCUUGACAGAAACUGGAUGAAGAGUAGACAAGUUCUUUCUGUAUGCCCCAGAUAGUUCAUGAACUGACCCUCUGUUGAAACAUUCGGCAUGUAUUACUUUAUUCUGGAAUCACAACAAGCACACAUGGAAAGACAUCCUGGGAAGAACGUGGUCACAGUCUCAUGCAGUGCUUUUCAUCAAGAAAGUAGUAUCCAUUUCCUCACCUCUUGUGGCUUUCUUUGGCACACAGAAUGUGACAGAAGUGAUGUUGUACAACUCCAGACCUCAAGCCACAGAGGCCUUAUGGUCCUGCCUUCCAUUCUUAGAAUGUCCUUCCUUUGAAUAAGGAAGCCAAGGUUAGACUUCUGAGUCAUGAGAGGCUCUUGGAGGGGAGCCCCAGUUCACAGCCAGCACGGAUGACCUGGCUAUGUGCAUGACUCUGCCUUACACCUGCCAGCCCCAGGCCAACUGCCAGAGGACUACAGCCACGUGAAUGAGGCCAAGGAAGAACUGGCAAGUACUCUAACUCAAAAAGGAUGAGUAAGUAAGUAGUGGUGGUUUUGAGCCACUGAGGUUUGGGGUAACAUGUUACACAGCAAUAGAUCCCUGAUACAUAUUCCUGCAUCAAAGAUGAAGGAACUGAGGCUCUGUAAGGGUAAGCAACUUGGCUGAAGGUUGAUAAUUUGAACUUGGUCUUUCUGACUUCAGAUUUUUCUCUGCUUGUCCAUGUCAAAACUACUACUGCACUUCAGAGUAAAAGUUCUGAAUUGCUGUAUGUGUUAAGUUUUUUAAAGGCUUACUUUCCCAUAAAUAGAGAGUAUUAGAGUACUAAAAAUAUAAUUUUGUUCUAUUGUGUAUUUUUCUAUCUCCAUUUAUUAGGUAAUGUUUUCCAAAACACUUUUAAAGAAUGUAUCCACUUGCGCUUUGAGGUUUGUGUUUAGAGAAUUCUUUAGUUGCUUAUAUCACAUGGCUCAUGGCUCCUCUGAAAUAUCGGCUUUUCUUGAAGGGAAGUGUAAAGGCUUUCUAACUCGAUCCACUUGAGGAAGGAAAAGAUUUAUUAGGAAGUCAGUCUGCUGCAAAGGAUGGUCUUCUGAAGCUUGUGGAGUCGUGGGUGAGGGAGAGGGCCCAUCUUGAAGAGCUAAGCCACCAAUUACACAAGGUCCAGGACACUGGAAAAGGCCAGAGACAACUGGAAGAUCAAAUCCUUCCUCCGAAGUCUUCCUUUAGAUGCAAUUCAUUAUUUUUGAAUAACGAAAACCAGAGCAACCUGAAGCCACACCAAUGGAAAAGACCUGGAAGAUAAAAGAGAACAGAAUGUAAAGGGAAAAAGAGGACCUGUCACAGACAAAUACUCCGUGUUCUCAUAUGUGGAAUCUUAUAAAAACUGAGCUCUUAAAGUAGAGAAUAGAGAUACAGAAGCUGAGAAGGGAAAGGAGAGAAGCAGGUUAACUUGUGCAAAGACACAGCAAGGUAGGAGGAAUAUGUUCUGUGUUCAUUAAACAGAAGGUGAUUACAGGUAAUAGUAUUGCAUGAUAUAAAUCAAUCAAAAGGACUUUGCAAGUUGUCAGUACAAAGAAAUGAGGAAUGUUUGAGAUGAUAGAUAACCUAGAUAUGCUGAGUUGAUCAUUACACAAUAUUCACAUGUACCCUAACCCUAAUCACACUGUACCCUGUAAUUAUGCACAAUUAUCUGUCAAUUCAAUAACAAAUUUAAAAAUUAAAAAAAAAUUAGAAAGACCUGGAAGAAUUUCUUACCUCUAGGUCAGAGCCAAGUGUCCCUGAGAUGCAAAAGACACCAAAUUUCCAAUACAAAUGUAUUUAGAACUAUUAUAUCUUAUUUAUGAUUCCAAGUGGAGAGACUCAAUUAAGCUUCAAGAAGGACCAAAAGUAGCACAGAAAAUUAGUUUGCCCUCCUGCUGGGAGUUAGGAAAGCUACAUAGUAUGUAGUAGAUACAACUUUUUUUUUUCUUUUGUAGUACUAGAGAUUGAAGUACUCAGCUAUAUGCCUAGCCCUUUUUUAUUUUUUGUUUUGAGAUAGGGUCUUGCUAUGUUG